AGAUGACGUCACGCGGCCGCGGGCGCUCGCUUGGUAGGGUGUGCUGGGGCGUAGAGUUUAGGGUCCUGAGGCUGCGUCUGCGUGUCAACUCAGUGGAGUCUCUCGACCGCCCUUUGUUACCCUCCUUUAGUGACCAGAAGGCUGGAGUUACGUAAUCUGCCCCUACAGCUAAAAGGACGGAGGCCUGACGGCGUGGCCUGGAGGGACGCGCUGAGCCCCUAAUGGGUGGUGCCUUCCUGGUGCGGCCGCACAGGCGGGGCCGGGCGGAAUCCAAGCACGAUGUGGACACGGAGCCUUGGGAAUGAACAGGAGCCUGCCUGUGGGAGCAUGUGGGAAAGGUGAUGCAGGUGGAAGGGCAAAUACAAAUUAUACAUAGGGUUUAAUUUUCCCUGAGGAAAAGAAGGGACGAGAAACCAUCCCCCUCCCUUUUUCUUUCAAAAUUUCAGCCUCUCUCCUUUCCAAAUGUACUCAAGUCUUUUUCUUAUAUGGCCAGGUUCAACUCAGGAAUGUUUCUUGGGAGCCAUCUCCUUGAAGUGUAAUUGUUGGCUGGGUGCGGUGGCUCACGCCUGCAAUCCCAGCACUUUGGGAGGCUGAGGCGGGCGGAUCACAAGAUCAAGAGAUCGAGACCAUCCUGGCCAACAUGGUGAAACUCUGUCCCUACUAAAAAUACAAAAAUUAGCUGGGCAUGGUGAAGCGUGCCUGUAGUACCAGCUACUCGGGAGGCUGAGGCAGGAGAAUCGCUUGAACCCGGGAGGCGGAGGUUGCAGUGAGCCGACAUAGCACCACUGCACUCCAGCCUGGAGACAGAGCGAGACUCUGUCUCAAAAACAAAGAAAGAAAAAAAUGCAAUUGUUAAGGGACGAAAGGGCCAAGAGUCCAGCUUCUUAGGAGGACAAAGGCUUAACUUGGCACCUGACUCCAAAUUGCAAAACCUACAUAAUGUGAUGGGCUAUCUCUACUUAGCUGCAUAGAAAAAGUGAGUUUCUGUCUUUGUGUUGCCUUUAGCAGGUUGCAUGUGAUGUACGGCAUCACAAUCUGGUUUAAUACUUAUUCAGUAAUGGUUUUCUGUCUCUUCUACCUUUGUGGAGAGGUUUCAUGGGUUGGGAGGAAACUACUCUCCACCCCCCACCCACCCCCAGGCAGAGGAAAGCACAUUGAAAGGUCCUGAAAUUGGGAAGGACAUGGUUUGCUGGUGAUACAGCUAAGUAUUACAAGUUUGUAGUGUUCUGGAAGGGUCUCAAUGAGGAGCGGGAGAUAAGGACGAUGUGUUCAAGGGUCUUGAAUGAUCAGGCUAGAAAAGUGAGAACGUGGUUCUAUAAGUAAAAGCAGAGCAGUGCUUGAAACUCGUAUUUUAUGUAUUGCACCUAGUAAAUACAUUCAAUCACUUUACAGUAUACAAAUCCCAUACUUCACUAAGUGUCAAAACCCUAACAGACAGAUAAGGCAGAACUGUUACUUCCAGAUUACUAACGUGGAAACUAAGCCCCACCCAAACAAGUUAAGUGGUUUGUUCAAGACCUCCUACAACAGGCUGGGCGCGGUGGCUUAUGCCUGUCAUCCCAGCACUUUGGGAGGCCGAGGCGGGGAGGCGGGUGGAUCACCUGAGGUCAGGAAUUUGGGGCUAGCCUGACUGACAUGGAGAAACCCGGUCUCUACUAAAAAUACAAAAUGAGCCGGGCGUGGUGGUGCCUGCCUGUAAUCCCAGCUACUUGGGAGGCUGAGGCAGGAGAAUUGCUUGAACCCAGGGGGCGGAGGUUGCGGUGAGCCGAG
rnacentral:lncRNA from 10 species